rnacentral:lncRNA from 1 species
CAACGGGAAGCAGUGGCAGGGCCAGGCCAGCCCCAGUGCCGCAAGCCAGAGUGGGGCAGCAGGACUGAAAGAGCUAUAGCACAAAUAGGCUGAAAUACUGCCUUGCUCCCCAUUCACCGUGCUGUGAGCAGCAGGAAGGAAAGAAGAGCUACAACCCUUCUGGGGGCCUAGACUUUGGGGCUCCCUGAGCCAAAACUGCAGCAUGCUGUAACACCCACUUUGGGGCUUCAGGGUUGCUGGCAUCUCCAAGAUUUUUGGCCACCACCACAUUCCCCUCAUCCAGACGCCGGCACCCAAAGCAGAAGCAGGUUGCGGCAUGACCCGUCCAGCUGCAGGCUGAGAACGGAACCCAUGGUGAGUGCGGGAUCCGGGCUGGAGCACAAGCCAAGCACAGCCCACUGAGUCGAGUAGGCGGGGUACCUCCAGCAGCAAGCCCAGAGCCCAGCAAGGCCCAGGCAAGGGUGUCGCUGGCUGUGGAGGUCCCUGGCUGGCGAAGCAGCACCAAAAAUUCCUGCAUCGAUCUUAUUUAAUUCUUUCACCAUAUCUACUUGUAUGAAGAACCUUAGGCAGAGAGGAGUUCAGGAACUUACCCAUGUCCUGUGUCCAUGAUCCUGGUCCACUGAGGCACACUGCGUCGGACCUAGAAGUACCUGCCUGCCUACCCUGGAUAAACUGAUAGAAGGAGUUUUCCUUAUUGAGACAGGGGACCCUGCAGAAAAUCCGGGACAAAAAACAGAAGCAAAACACAUAUCGCAGAGUGUCCCCAAGGUGCUGAUGUUGCCAUCAAGAGCCGGAUGAAAUGGAAUUGCCCAGAAAGCACCUGCAGGUGCAUUGCCCAAGCAAUAGUCACAACCCUAAGUAAUAACCACCCAGAAGUUGGCAGUGGAGGCCAAUGAGGCACCUAGCAACCCAGCAGCAAAGAAACAUUAUCCAGAAGCCAGGAGAUCUACUGGGGACCCCGGCUUCCGCACAAAGCCAUAAGGUCAAAUAAGCUAUACCCUUUCCAAAUUCUACACAAUCUUAGAGAAACAACAAAAGAUAAGCUGUUUGAGGGACUGAGCACUUUUGGCUAACAGAAAUUGAACCCCACUAAAAGGGAAUAAACUUAGGUUGAAUUAGAGAUGUAAUUGUCUCCUAGUAUCCCCUAAGGGAAAGGGCUCAAGAGAAAGUUCCAAUCACAGAGGAAAAAACUCCUUUUCAUUGUACCUCUGAGUUGUGAGACGAGUUGAGUUUUUCUGUCACUACAAGCACAUUGGGAGAAAACUAGAGAAUGAAUUAAGGAACCUGUGAAUCUCAUGCUUCAUGAUUCCUUUUUUCCAACUCCUUCCCUCCAAGCCCCUUUGAGAGCAGAACUUGCAGUGCCUCAUGUCUGCUGGCCUUGGAGCAGUGUCAGUCAACGCUUCCCAGCCCAUUAACCAAACUUGAGGACAAGGGAAGUUAAGUGCCGCAGCCCACAGGGGAGCAUGUAAGUGGAUUCAGAUUCCCCAGGGAGCAUAACACCUUAAGGACUGUGCUUGCAAUGGCUGGGGAGACAAUGAGACAGGCGGGCAGUGAUUCUUCCAGAGACUAAUGAGGUUUUUCCUGGCGGAAGCACGUCUCUGCCUACACCGCACUAAUGCAGCAUUAAUGGAGAAAGGAGAGGAAAUGCGAGCAUUUUCUUCUGUGGAGGACAGAUCUUGUGUUAUGUCUUUUUGUUUCCUUGUUUUAUUGUAAGGUUUUUAACCUUUUUUAUAAGUUAAACAAAUUUUAGUAUUACAUGUUAUAUAUACCUGUAUAUUUGAAAGAGAAAUGUAAUAACAGCUUUAAUGUUUAUACCUAUAAAAUAAAUGAAAACAUUUCGAAAAACCCAAUGAAUUCCUUAACAGUUUUAAAAGUAAGAGGCUUUUGUAAAGUUUCC